UACGGAAGGCAGCAGUGGGGAAUAUUGCACAAUGGGCGAAAGCCUGAUGCAGCUAUGCCGCGUGUAUGAAGAAGGCCUUAGGGUUGUAAAGUACUUUCAUCGGGGAGGAAAAAAACAAAACUAAUAAUUUUAUUUCUUGACGUUACCCGAAAAAGAAGCACCGGCUAACUCCGUGCCAGCAGCCGCGGUAAUACGGAGGGUGCUAGCGUUAAUCAGAAUUACUGGGCGUAAAGAGCACGUAGGUGGUUUUUUUAAGUCAGAUGUGAAAUCCCUGGGCUUAACCUAGGAACUGCAUUUUGAAACUGAAAUACUAGAGUAUCGUAGGGGGAGGUAGAAUUCUAGGUGUAGCGGUGAAAUGCGUAGAUAUCUGGAGGAAUACCUGUGGCGAAAGCGGCCUCCUAAACGAAUACUGACACUGAGGGUGCGAAAGCGUGGGGAGCAAACAGGGAUUAGAUACC
rnacentral:rRNA from 1 species